GCUUCGUGGUGUAGUGGUCAGCACGCUCGACGCGUAUUCGAGAGGUCAGUGGUUCGAGUCCCGGCGAGGGCA
rnacentral:tRNA from 1 species